AGCUACAUCACUAAAGUCAAGCUAGUCCAUCGGUACAGACAUCUCCCAGGGAAGGACCUAAGUCCCUUUUGUACAUGGCUUACUUUGAAGAAGAUUAGAGGUAUCCAUUGUUUCGAUGAUUAACCAAACGGCUUCAGGUAGCUGUAGCUUGCUGUGCGUUGAGUUCUUCAGCGGGUAAUGAGAUAAAUAAACUUGUUCAACAGGGGAAAAAAGAACUUGCAUGCAGGCAGCCGUGAACCAGUAUUACUACCAGGCUACCAGCUUGCAGUUGAUGGUUAGGUAACGCCCGUCUGGAGACGUGACCGUACUGCCGCUUGCGCUUGAUGGUUAGGUUACGCCCGUCUGAGCUCUCAGAGUCCAGCUGUUUUGACCAAACAACAUUUCUUCCCAGUACCCUGAUACCAUUCAUGGGACUAAGAAGAAACCCUGCAGUUCCCUCCACAUUUUCUCAUCCGGGCUUGGGACCGGCAAAGGCAGUGUU
rnacentral:lncRNA from 1 species